rnacentral:misc_RNA from 1 species
GAUGAAGAACGCAGCGAAAUGCGAUACGUAAUGUGAAUUGCAAAUUCAGUGAAUCAUCGAGUCUUUGAACGCACAUUGCGCCCCCUGGUAUUCCGGGGGGCAUGCCUGUCCGAGCGUCAUUGCUGCCCUCAAGCUCGGCUUGUGUGUUGGGCCCCGUCCUCCGAUCCCGGGGGACGGGCCCGAAAGGCAGCGGCGGCACCGCGUCCGGUCCUCGAGCGUAUGGGGCUUUGUCACCCGCUCUGUAGGCCCGGCCGGCGCUUGCCGAUCAACCCAAAUUUUUAUCCAGGUUGACCUCGGAUCAGGUAGGGAUACCCGCUGAACUUAAGCAUAUCAAUAAGCGGAGGA